rnacentral:miRNA from 1 species
CUAUAUCUGUGAUCUGUGCCUGUAUGUGUGCAUGAACACGUGUGUACGCAUGCACAUGUAUGUACAUAUGUACUUACAUAUAUUUAUAAAAUGAACACCUAAGA